UGUAUAGUGAAGGCAGGGAACACUGCAUGCCUGUAUUAAAUAUUGACAAAGGAACCAAUUUUAGUGCUUUGUUAUUUUUACUGUUGAGUAUUUUCUGAGACCAUUUCUUUUUCUUCUAUUUUGUUUUGCUGAGGUAGAGGAGGGCUGGAAUGAGGUCCUCCACUUCAGAAAAUAGGGGUGAGUAGUUAAACCAACAUCCUUUGGAAUUCAUAUACGUCAUGCGUUCCAUGCCACAUCCUGAGAUCUUUUUGUUGAUUUUUUUAGUGGCUUACUGGAUAAUAUCUAAAUACUGUAUAUUUUACUUUGGUGAGUCUCUCCACCUUCAUUUCUGAAUCAUUGUCCUUUACAUUUUUAUUCUAUUUGAAUUUUGCAUGAAAUGACAAAUGUAGAAUUUUGCCCAAUUUAUUUUAUUUAUUCAUUUAUUUAUUUGGGAAGACAAAGUCUCUCUCUGUCACCCAGGCUGGAGUACAUUGGCCCAGUCAGAGCUCACUUCAGCUCUUCACCCUGUAGCCCUUAACUCCUGGGCUCAAGUGAUCCUCCACCCUCAGCCUCCCAAGUAUCUAGGAAUACAGUUGUCAUGGGAGGCCAGCCGCCUGCUGGCAAGGAAGAUGGUUGAUUCUUCUGAUCAAUGGAGGCCCUGCAGAGUCCUGUAGUCACUGUGGCCUGGCAUCCAUGGUGCACCCAAUGCUGGUGGAUGGCUUAGGACGAGGCAGUUGCUGUGGGAGGUGUGGUAACUGCUGGAAGGAAGAUGCUCAAUUCUUCUGAGCAACGAAGGCCACACGGAGUCCUGGAUUCUGUGUGGCCUGGCAUCCAUGGCGCACUGUGUGCUGGCAGGUGGCUCAGGACGGGGCAGUUAUCAUGGGACACCCGCCAUAUGCUGGCAAGGAAGAUGGUCAGUUCUUCUGAGCCACAAAGGCCCCCAACAUCCUGGAGUUGGUGUUGCCUAGCAUCCACGGUGCGCCCCCUGCUGGUGGAUGGCUCAGGAUGGGGCAGUUGCCGUGGGAGGCCCGCUGCCUGCUGGAAGGAAGAUGGUCAGUUCUUCUGAACCACAAAGGCCCUGCAGAGUCCUGGAGUCUGUGUGGCCUGGCUUCCAGGGUUCACCUCAUGCUGGUGGAUUGCUCAGGAUGGGUGCCGAAGGUCUUUAAGGUCGUCAGCUCACCUACUGCCCAGCCUGUGGUGUCAAAUGUCCUGCCUCUUCAAAUGUGUUUGGAUCGAUGAUGAGUCCCCCCAAAAAAACAUUCCUUGGAAAAGCUGAACAAAAUGAGUGAAAACUCAUACCGUCGUUCUCAGCGGAACUGAGGUCCAGCGCGUUGCCUCCAGCAGGGACUGUUGGAGUGAGGGAGAGCUUCCACUAGUCCCUAUAGGUUCCACCACCCAGGGCAUCCGCAGGGACAGUUGCCGUGGGAGGUCCGCUGCCUGCUGUCAAGGAAGAUGGUCGAUGCUUCUGAGAAACAGGCCCUGCGGGUUCCUGGAUUUGGUGUGGCCUGGCAUCCACGGUGCACCCCGUGCUGGCGGGUGGCCCAGGACGGGGCAGUUGCCUUGAGAGGCCCACCGCCUGCUGGCAUGACAGAUGGUCAGUUCUUCCGAGCAGUGGAAUCUCCAUGGAGUCGUGGAGUCGGUGUGGCCUCGCAUCCACAGUGCACCCUGUGCUGGUGGAUGGCUCAGGACAGGGCAGUUGCCGUGGGAGGCCUGCCGUCUGCUGAAAGGAAGAUGGUUGAUGCUUCUGAGCAAUGAAGGCCCCAUGGAGUCCUGGAUUCGGUGUGGCCUUGCAUCCGUGGUGCACCCCGUGCUGGUGGAUGGCUCAGGACGGGGCAGUUGCCAUGGGAGGCGCAGGCCUGCUGGAAGGAAGAUGGUCGAUUCUCCCAAGCAACAAAGGCCACGUAGAGUCCUGGUUUCAGUGUGGCCUGGUAUCCACAGUGCACCCCGUGCUGGUGGGUGGCUCAGGACGCACACUCAUUUCCUCUGCACCUUCCUGGUGUCAUUGGCAUGGAAGGAAGGCCCUUGUCCAAGAAGGAUGGUCUUCGUCUUGUGUGAUCUUUGAGAUGCCAUGAGGCCCCUGGAUACAAAUGGUGUGGGCUCCUUUGGAGGCUUUUGGAUUUCUCCUGAAUGUGGCGUUGGUAUGGAAGGAAGGCCAGUGACCGCAAGGGAUGACUUUGAUCUUGGGAGAUUUUUGGAGAUGGCAAAGUGCUUCUAAACAUGUUUGGCAUGGUCUCCUUCAGGCUGGUGGAUACCUCAGGAUGGUGGCGUUGGCAUGGAAGGAAGGACUGUGUCUGUGAGGGAUGAUCAUCCUCUCAUGUGAUCCUUGGAGAUGCCAGGAAGCCCCUUGACACAUGUGGCAUGGGCUCCUUCAGAGGCUUUUGGAUCCGUCGUGAAUGUGGCAUGGGCAUGCAAAGAAAGACAGAGGCUGCAAGGGAUAAACUUCAUCUUGGGAGAUCCCUGGAGAUGGCAGGGAACCCAUGGACACAUGUGGCAUGGGCUCCUUUGGGUGCCGGUGGAUCCCUUCAUACGGUAGUGUUGGUGUAAAAGGCAAACCCGUGUCAUGAGGGAUGGUCAUCAUCUUGUGUGAUCCUUGGAGAUGGCAGGAAGCCCUGGACAUACAUGGUGUGGGGGCUCCUCCAGAGGCUGUUGGGAUCCUCCUGGAUGUGGUGUGGGCAUGGAAGGAAGGCCAGUGGAGACAAUGGAUGAUCUUGUUCUUAGCAGAUCACUGGAUGUGGCAGGGAGUCCUAGGACAUGUGUGGUGUGGGCUUCUUCAGGUGCUGGUGGUGUUGGCAUGAGGAAAGGAGGUAUCUUCGAGGGACAAUCUUCUUCUUGUGCGAUCCUUGGAGAUGCCAUGAGGCCCCUGGACACAUGUGGUGUGGGCUCCUUUGGAGGCUGUUGUAUCCCUUCUGAAUGUGUUGUGGCCAUGGAAGUAAGGCCAGUGGCUACGAGGGACAGUCUUCAUCUUGGGAGAUCCCUAGAGAGGGCAGGGAGCCCCUUGACAUGUGGAAUGUGAUCUCUGUUGGGUGCUGGUGGAUCCCACAGGUGGUCUGGCAUGGAAGAAGGCCAGAGGCUGCGAUGGAUCAUCUUUGUCUUGGGAGAUUCCUGGAGAUGGUGGGGAGCCCCUGGGCACGUGCAGCAUAUGUGGCGUGGGCUUCUUCAGGUGCUGGUGGAUCCCUCAGGAUGCUUUUCAAGGUUUUUCUAUGAGUUCUGUUAAAGAGUCUGAAAAUGGAGCGUAGAAGACAUGCUUCGAUUUCCAGGAUGGUUGUGUUUUCCAGAGAGGCGGAGGUAAACCACUGGCGCAGCCCUGCCUCCCACAGAUAAUUCCGGGUGCAGUGUUUCAUAUCUAGACUUGGACUUCUAUCCUACCAUACUUCUUUGUGUGCAGUUCAUUGUGGAACCAGCACAGAUUUUCAUACGAAAGUUAUUUCUUUUUAACCUCAAAAAGUGACAGAAUGGAGUGUAUCAUGAAAAAGUCUGACAUCAAAACCUCAAAAUGUGAUAUUGAUUGGGUGAGAUAGAAUUCCAUGGAAUUUCAUUGCCAAACCAGUGAAGUGCUAAUUUUGACAUUUGUACCAGCUAACGUAGCUGUGAAGAAACACACCAAUACACUUCUAAGGACAGCAUAGACCAAGAUCUAGGUUUCAUAUGGAUGAAUUUAUUCUUCCCUUUGAGGCAAGACAAGAAGGAAAGAAAGUAUUGGGAAUAAUGCUGCCCUCCCAUCCUCAAGGGCCAGUGGGAACUCUAAUAUUGAUUGGUUUUCACAGAAUUCCAUGGACUUUAACUGCUGAACCAAUGAUGCACUGAUUUUGUCACUUGUACCAGCUAACGCAUCUGGGAGGCAACAAAACAAUACUCUCCUGAGGUUAAUGUGGACCAAAAACUAGAUUUCAUAUAAAAGAGUUUAUUCCUUCUACUUGAGGUGUGACAUGAAGGAAAGUAAUGGAAAUAAUUCUGCCCUCCCAUUCUCAAGGGCCAGGGGGAAUUCAAAUAUUGAACGGAAGUGAUUUUGGAAUUGCAUGGAAUUCUCACUGCCAUCCCAAAGAAAUGCUGAUCUUGUCACUCUUACCUGUUUCAUUCCCUGGGGGCAGAACAAAAGGACGCACUCCAAAGAUCGGCAUGAACCAAGAACUGGGUUUCAUAUAAAAUAUUUUAUUCUGUCCUCUUGAGAUGUGACAUGAGAAAAGUAUUGAGAAUACUUCUAUCACCUCAUCUUCAAGAAUCCGUAGGAAUUCUCCCAUGGUGGACUUUACGGUUAACCUGAACAGGUCUUGGAAAAAGGACUUUAAACAUUCUCCUGUUCUGUGGAAUAAGUAUACUUUUUUCUGGACAUACACCUUGUCAGUGAGUUCCAUGUGAUACUAGAGUUGCAUAGAUUUUUAACCUUUACGCCAAUGAAGAUCUGAGGCAAACAUUGCCCCUUUUUUAGAAGUUUGCAUUUGUCACUGAUAACUGUAAUAAUUGAUCUUGUUGAAAAGCCUGGGAAAUGAAGAUCUGAUAUGUCACUUUUACCGGCUUCCUCAACUGAAAAAGAAUACAAUGAAACACGCUGAGAAUUUUUGUGCUUUCUCAGUCUUGCUGAUGAUCUUUCUAUGGGCCUGAAGCGUGGAGAGUGCCAGAGAGGCUGAUCCUCAGCAGUGUGGCAGAGGAAAGUUGGGUGCGACUAAGGGGUAUGCGGUGCCCACAUGCCACUGGGUCCUCAGCAGUACCACCUGAUUGGAAGUGAUAUUGGUGGAAGACAACAUUUUGCCGCUUGGAAUUCUCACCUCCACACCAAAGAAGUACUGUUUUUGUCAUUUGCACCAGCUUCUUUCUCCAGGAAAGAUCAAAACGAUGCACUGCAAGUGUGAUUGGUCCAGAUAGCUGCCUUAUCCAACUGCCUCCUUUGGACCACUUCAUCAUGGGACAGCUUGAUGCAAUCUACUUGACAAGACCCUGGAACCCCACACCCCUCAUGGAACCAGUGUCCACCUCCCAGUCACAGUGUGACCCCAGGGAACUCUUGCCUGCUUGCUUUAAACCCACCACUUAAAAGUCUCCACAGAAAACCUGUUUGAAUAGUACCCUUGACCCAAUAAGGGCAUUGGCCCCUGGGUGUCUCUCUCUCUCUCUCUCUCUCUCUCUCCCUCUCUCUCCCUCUCUCUCUCUCGCUCCCUGACCUCUGCGUGUGGACUCCAGGCAUGCCAUAUACCCCUCAGGACCUGAAGCAAAAGAAUGAAUUAAAGAAAACUCCAGAGAAUGAGCUGACAACCUACUCCCUGGUCAGUGGCUCUCCAUGCCUACCUGUGGUCUCUUGGACACCCUUGCAGAUGACUUCCUGGGAACUCUUCUGGGAGUGAAUGUUAUCAGCAAAUUCCCAAAACAACACCCCUUAGACAAAAAGCCUCCUCACCUAUGCAUUGCCUAGACCACCCACUAAAGGUGAUGGCCACAAAGAGGUGGAUUUGUUGAGUUGGUGCCAUUCCUUCUACUGCCAGCUUCACCAAAACAAUGACACAGUCUUCCUUCCGCAUGGAGACUCUUCUCUUUCCUGUGUUGCAGUGGAUGCCUCCUGCAGAUAAGAAAUGCUUAACUGAGAAAUGCUCAUGUUGGGAUAUCAUCGAUGAGACUUUAAUUUGGGCAUGGUGACUGUUUCCCUUGCUGCCACUUGACUCAAUCCCAGGAGCCUCAGUAGAGGAUAUAAUAUUACACAAGAUGCUCAAAAUGGUGGAAUUGCUCAGUGCUCCCAUAAAUAUACAUUUAUAAUUUUCAUUUGCCACAUGGUAAACUGAAAAAUACAGACUAUAUUAAAAAGAAACUGCAUGAUUUUUUUUCAAAAAUUCAAAGCAUAUUUAAAUAAUAUAUAAAUUAAAUGCCCUCCUCUCUUCCAAUUCUGUCCCUAUAGUUUUCCUCUAUUAAGUGAACUACAUGCAUUCUUUUAGUGGAUAGAUGCACACAAACACACAAGCCAUUAUGGGGAAGGAUCCACGUGUGUGGCCAUAUUGUAACACAUUUUUCUGCAAAUCACCUCUUUCAUUUAACAGCCCUUAUUCAAUGGCCUUUUUCUUUUUCAGUAGUACAUACACAUCUGUGUCAUUUGUUGAAUGACGACAUGAAUGUUUUGUAGAUAAAAUAUAAUUAAAUGUUUUAAGCAUUUCUCACUCAUAGAUAUUUAUGUUAGCACCAAAUUUCUGUGCAAUGAACCUCCCUAUAUAUCAGUAAUUUUGCAUUUGUCUAUAAUAUCAUAAUAAAUUACUUAUCAGUUGAAUUACUGGGAUUAAGUAUGUGCACACUUUAUAUUUAUAUUUUGAAAAUUAUUGCAAGAUUGCCUUCAAAAAUGUGGUUAACAACUUUAUCUUCAAAUGGCAAUGAAUGAGAUUGCCAGCUUUCCUACAGCCUCACAGACAAUGGAUUUUAUAAAUAUUUAACAUUUUUGCCAAUGUGAUCACCCAAACUAUUGUCUUAAAUUGUAUCUCUUUUGUUUUUGAGUUUGGUCAUUUUUUCAUG
rnacentral:lncRNA from 1 species